GGGCGGGUAGCUCAGGUGGUUAGAGCACCGUGUUUACACCGCGGGAGUCGCAGGUUCGAGUCCUGUCCUGCCCA
rfam:Plesiocystis pacifica SIR-1 1103186006309, whole genome shotgun sequence.